ACCUAAGACAUGAGCCUGUGAGGGC
rnacentral:piRNA from 1 species